UGACGCGUUUACGUUGCACAUUUUUCAUAACUUAUAUGGAAUAGAGUAUAACAGUGUAAGCAACGAUAAAACAUUGCAAUUAAUAAUUUUGGGUGAGCGCAGAAAAAAAUGUAUUAGUUUUGUAAAACUCAUAACAUUUCCUUUACUCUAUUUUAAUCAAGGCAUUAAAAUAAAGUAUUAGAUCUCAUAAAUUAUAUUACUUGUUACCCCACGACAAAUGAUCGGUGGUUAUGGACGUAAAUAGGGGGAGGCUUAGUUCCACCAUGCCAUAAGCCUACUUUAAGCCUUUUCUAAGAUAUUUUAAUGUAUAGGUUAUCUUUAUUAUGAUAAAUUAUAUAAUUUAUAAUCAACGAUAAUAGCUAUAAGUAUAAUAAUAGUAAUAUUAUGUAACUAGGUUUCCACUGAAUUUUCGUUUUAACGUUCCAACUAGUGAUACGUAAAACCGCGGGACCGACUAGUUUUGACUUUAUUGUCAAUCAAUAGCUUAAAAAAACAUGGGAGAGGUUUAUAGAUUGAACUGAUAUUUUAUUCGUCGAUUGUUUUGAAAACUAUCGAAUGAAUUGAUAGAUAGUUUUCUUUCAGUAGUAGUACCGACUAGUUUUUACUAGCGAUAGUUUGAAAAAAAAACCUAGACAUUUUUACGAUUAAAUUGUUAUUGUCAAUAGAAUGAACUACUUGAUAGUCCGAUAGUUUCAAUAGUAUGGACUAUAAUUUCGAUAGUGACAGUUUCUAGAUACAACAGAGUAAAUUGAUAAUGUAAAACAAUCGUAGUAGUUCGAUACGUAUAACCAUUUGGGUGCCAAUGGUCAUUUCGGGCUCAAGCUCUAUGCAUUUAAGGACCCUAUUUACGUGCAUACAUUAAUUAUCGUGAUAUUGAUGAUACGGAAAUUACAGUAAACACCAAUAAUAUAGAAACUACCGGUAUACAUUAAUAAUGGUAAUUCCAACUACCAGAAUUUUAUUCUAGUACCGGUCCAAGCAAAAGAGGUGGCGGCAGAGUUUUUUGACCAAGGCAUACGAAAAUUGAUCCCUCACUACAUAACAUGCAUUAAAAGGGCUGAUGAUUAAAUGGAAAAAUAGUUCAUGUGUAUGUUUUGGGAUGAAAAAGAUAAUGGAAUACUUGAAUUGAGCUCCGACCUAAUGUCCAGGAUAAGUAGGAUUGAUAUCACUGGAUUCUGGGACUUCAUCGAAAUACAUCUGUAUUUGUAGAUUCUCUAUAACUUUCUUUGUUCCGAUGUGACCGAUGUUUUCUUAAAAUAUUUUUUUUCGAAUUUGGCGAUUGUGUAAUAAAUCCAAAAUAAAAGCUUUUGAAGGAAGGAGGAGGAUGUUGGUUAGAGAAAACUAUUCUUUCAUGUUUAUGAUAAUAUUGAACACGUAGUGAUUUUUAUUAUGAAAAAUUGUCAAUAUGUUCUUAGUGAUUUACUAUAUCAAAAAGUUCCCGAUUAACCUGAACUUGCUCCUUCGUCCACAUUCUCGAGAAAAACUUUCACUCAGCACAUCUGCAGUUUUUCAGUCGCAAUUUGUUGGUAAAAGUCAUGUGAAACAACGUUGCAUUCCUCUACUGUAAAAGAUUGUGUCAACCAAAUAGAAGGAAAAUUCGUUCCAAACCAACCAACCCACCCUAAACAAAGCUUUUCUUUUGAGUUUAUUACAAAAUCGCCAAAUGCGAAGAAAAUAUUUUAACAAAACAUCGGUCACAUAAAAAACAAAGAAAGUUAUAGAGAAUAUACAAAUACAAAUGUCCUCCGAAGAAGUCACAGAAUCCAGUGAUAUCAAUCCUACUGCUUUUGGACACGACACUGCGUUGGCGAGCUAUUCGAGUAUUCCGGGAACUUUUUGAUCCCACUGUGUAACUAUGUAAAAGUUUUAUUAUUAAAUACAUUAUUUCAAAUGUACAAGGGGCAUUUGUGAAAGGACAAAACCAUAAUAAAUUUACUCUCUGAACUAAUGUCUGUUUUACAUAACUGAUGUGUCAAAGAUUUGGUAUAAGGGUAUAAAUAAAUAAGGGAUUCUAUUGCCGGGUUAACUUUUAAUAAUAAAUUAUUGUGAAAACGGUCAGGAUCGCAAAAAAAAAAAAAAAAAAUACCCUUCCGGUAAUGAUAUGGAAUCAAAUAAAAAAUUAUCAUUAAAAUAUAGGUAAAAUAGUUCUCAAGGUUUUUACUAACAUACACACUAAUGAUGAGGGCGCAGAUUGGAAGAUGAAUCUUCUAAAGGAACUGCCACCACAACAAUGUUAUUUAUAAACAAACAUUGUAAUCUCGUUACUUACUUUGAAAGGUCUUUAGGGAUAUCAAAACCCCAAUAUUUCCUG